ACGGGUGAGUAACGCGUAUGCAACCUACCUAUCAGAGGGGAAUAACCGGCGAAAGUCGGACUAAUACCGCAUAAAACAGGGGCACCGCAUGGUGAUAUUUGUUAAAGAAAUUCGCUGAUAGAUGGGCAUGCGUCCAUUAGGUAGUUGGUGAGGUAACGGCUCACCAAGCCGACGAUGGAUAGGGGAACUGAGAGGUUGGUCCCCCACACUGGUACUGAGACACGGACCAGACUCCUACGGGAGGCAGCAGUGAGGAAUAUUGGUCAAUGGGCGGGAGCCUGAACCAGCCAAGUCGCGUGAAAAGGAAGAAGGAUCUAUGGUUCGUAAACUUCUUUUGCAGGGGAAUAAAGUGCAGGACGUGUCCUGUUUUGUAUGUACCCUGAGAAUAAGGAUCGGCUAACUCCGUGCCAGCAGCCGC
rnacentral:rRNA from 1 species